rnacentral:sRNA from 1 species
CCCUAGCCCCGAUUGAAGCAUUUGUUUGAGCUCAUUUCCGGGGGAUUUUGGGGCGGCGGCUUUGCCGCCGCCCCAAAAUCCCCCGGAAAUAGCGAGUGCGGAAAGCGGGAAAUAGC